rnacentral:rRNA from 5 species
GGUUAAGCGACUAAGCGUACACGGUGGAUGCCCUGGCAGUCAGAGGCGAUGAAGGGCGUGCUAAUCUGCGAUAAGCGCCGGUAAGGUGAUAUGAACCGUUAUAACCGGCGAUACCCGAAUGGGGAAACCCAGUGUGAUUCGUCACACUAUCAUUAACUGAAUCCAUAGGUUAAUGAGGCGAACCGGGGGAACUGAAACAUCUAAGUACCCCGAGGAAAAGAAAUCAACCGAGAUUCCCCCAGUAGCGGCGAGCGAACGGGGAGGAGCCCAGAGCCUGAAUCAGCAUGUGUGUUAGUGGAAGCGUCUGGAAAGGCGCGCGAUACAGGGUGACAGCCCCGUACACAAAAGCGCAUGUGCUGUGAGCUCGAUGAGUAGGGCGGGACACGUGGUAUCCUGUCUGAAUAUGGGGGGACCAUCCUCCAAGGCUAAAUACUCCUGACUGACCGAUAGUGAACCAGUACCGUGAGGGAAAGGCGAAAAGAACCCCGGCGAGGGGAGUGAAAAAGAACCUGAAACCGUGUACGUACAAGCAGUGGGAGCACAGGUUUACCUGUGUGACUGCGUACCUUUUGUAUAAUGGGUCAGCGACUUAU